AACCAAAGUGUUGGGCUUAGUUCAAGGCUGCUUCCUUGUUCUAAUAAUUAAACUUUGGGACAAGACACAGACUGGGGAGAUGAUUAAGUAGAAGGUUAUUUCUCUAUUCCUUUCCCUCCUGGCCUACAAAA